GAACAUUUGAUUCUAAUUUUGAAUUAAAUUCUGAAAUUCCUUUAAUUCCCCACAAUGCUUAUUGGUGUUUUUGUUCACCGUAUAGAAUAUAGCUGUGCAAGCACAUAUCUGCCAUAACACAAUAUCAUUCUUUUUACAGAAGCAAAGUCACUUUAUCUGUGAUGGAAGUGUCCAGAAUGAUGAUGAAAGCGUGGAGGUAGACUUUGAGCUACAGCUACACAAUGACCCUGUACAACAAGCAGGACAUUGCUGGGGGCAAUAAAUCACACAGCAUUCACCCCAACCGGGGUUUGGGUGGGUGAGACAUCCUAACCUCACGGAUUUGAUGGGUCGAAGUUGUAUACGCUCUAGACGUACCGAGCCUGAGAAAGAUGCUGCCUGACAAUACCUCCACAUUUUGCUUCUGUGUGCAGAUUAUGUUCUGCGAUGCAGCUGAACCUGUGACUCCCAGAGUUUGAUUUUCAGCCCUGCUCUAGUCUAUUUGAUGCAUUAUUCAAAAGAAAUAACAAGGAUCUGAUUAGCGGAAGUGGAGGGGAAUAUUUUUACAAAGUCGGCUCAAUAGAAAUUAUCGUCAGUUUUGUUCACUUGAUCAUUUUUUUCUAUACAAUGUUUUACAUUUUCAUUUCACUCACACUCUAGCUUGUCUAUCUGUUGCAAUGAAAGGAAGAGCUCUGUGUUGUAUGGGGUUUUCCUCUUUACUUCCAAAGCGGUGAGUGGGUGAAUGUAAAUUAUACGUUGACGUACUAGGGCUACAAUUCAUAGCUGAGUGUACAAAUUUGCAUUGUUUUAAUUGACUGUUGUGUAGAACAAUUCAAUUCCAAAAACAAAAUCCUGUAGUAUAAUGUAAGAUUUACUUCAGCAUUAUUACAGCAUUAAUUUCCUUUUUUCCUUUUGUGGAAACAUAAUGUUUAAAUACGAGAUCACAAACUUAAAAUUGCCUGACCUGUCAAAUAAAAUCAAUAAUACUGAACAGACAUGCAGUGGGGAUGGAGGAUUGUAAUUGGGUUUAUCUGUCCAUCAACAUGGUUUAAGAAUAAUACACAGCUGCUGUCAUCAACUUGCAUGCUGGGUGACCUCAACAGCCAGUUGUAGCCAUUUGCUUACCACAGUGAAUGGAAAGAGGCAGGUCAGCAUCAGUGCCAUGGAGACUAUUCCAUAACACAAGGACUAGAUGUAGGGAUGAGGGGAAGAUGAGGCAUGCUUGGGGAAAGGUGGAGAUGUGCAGAGCAGGCUUUCCUUGUGGGGUCGCAGGGGACCCCAGAUUGUGUUCCUGUCCCACUCAGCACUCAAUAACUUUGGAUGGCUCCCUCUUCUUCCCUCUAUGACAAGCUGCUGAAAUACUAUCACACUGCUACUCUGGGAGGACGAAUCUUGACACAAAUUGAGGAAAUGCUGGUUAGACCUUACAGACACUCCCAGAUUAAAAUAAAUACUGGAUCAGAAGCUGAAAGAACUACGAGAUUCCACCUAAUUUAUAUAAAACAAUAUUUACUUAUAGACUACAGGCUACUGUUAAUGAGCAGCUAAAGUAGCAGAGAACCCCAUCAAAUAAAGCAGUAGGUCCACGUGAUUUUUUUAAAAGAAACUCUAUGUUCAGCAUAACCACUUAGAAGAAACGAGGGUUUCCAUUCACCUGGACGUAAUCCAGUAAAUUGGUCAAGGAGCUGAGAAGGGGCAUCCUUGCUUAAUUUCAUAGGAUCUUUGUUGCAUAAAUAAAAAUACUGAAGGCUUAGGAAAUGAAGCAGUUUAUUUGACAAUGUUGCUGGUUUAAAGCAAGUUGCAAACUGGAAAUACAACUGUCAGAUUGACCUUGUUCUCAAGCCAGAGAAUAUUAACACGGUUAAUAUAGAACUGAUGUUUUCUUGUAAAUUAAUCAAUAAUAGACCUUAAGGUGCAAAUUAAAUCUAAUGGAUAUUGCAGCUAAUCGAAACACUGUUCAGCUUAGCUCAUUCAAAGUUACACUCCAGUAGGUACUGUACAUUAAUACAGCAUAACUGACCGGUGAGCUUAUAAUGCUGAAAUUGAUAAGAGACAGUAAUAUAUUGUGAGUUAAUUAGGUGGCCAUGGAAAUAAAUAAAAUUUACAGAACUCUAAAUUGCUGACUACAUUUUUGCAAUCUUGUUUCAAGCUGACUUAAUACAGAAAUAAUUAAUUUAGAAGCAACUGACCUUCCUAUUGCUGAAUAUUAAGAGAAUGAAUUAAUUAUUCUGACAUUUUUAAAACUCAAAGCGUAGUUAUGUAGGGAUCUGAAUGAGUGAAAAUGAAUAGCUUAGAAAGAGGGCGAUCAUGGCAAGACAAUCAUUUUGAGCUUCUAUUCACGACAAUUUCCCAUUGACUAAUCACUUGGAUAUUUAUCGCAUUUCAAACAGUCUGAACAGUUUAAAACUGGUCACGAGAAUACCAGUCACCAACCUUUGUAUCGAGUAUUACUCUACUCAUCUGGUAAACAAUUGCAGUUUGUGAUAGUAGAGAUCUACAUUAAUACAUUGAACAAAUUAAUAAGCAUUCAUAACAGAUAUUGUUGAAAGUAAUUUCACAUCAUUACUAGCCUUUCAAACACAACGGAAUGUACUUAUUGGUUAGUUUUUGUAAAUGCACAACUUUCAUGAAACAAAUUUCUGCAUUUUCAAAGUAGGGAAGAUAAAUGUCUUAGCCUUUUUAAGUAUACUUCUUGAAACUAAGUAAGCAGAGAUGACUACACUUUCUUUAAAAAGUUGAAAGUAAAAGAGUUUAUGAGCUUUUAAGAGAUGCCAAACAUUUUUCCAUUGCUUGUUUAUUUCUGUAAUUUCCAGAAAAUUGCAACUUUUUUUUAACACAUGUUCAAUCCAGGAAACGUAGUAGGCUUUGCUAAUUGCUCAGGAAUCAGCAAGAUGGGAAAAGCAGAGGAAAUGCAAGGAAUGGCAAUGCUUCCUAUUUUAGUUCAUGGCUAUAAUGCUGCUGUCAGGAAGGGGUUUCUAAUUAGAAAAGUGAGUGCAGAUGGUAGUCCGGAGUACUCUGAGAACAUUUGCUCAAUGAUUAGUUGAAGGUUAGACUUAGUGGGUGGGCAGCAUUGGCUCUCACUGGGCUUUCAAAGCACGGCCAUUCAUGGCCAGCCUCAGACACUAACCAGUUUAUUUAUUUAAAUAACAAACAUCCAACCCUGAAACAAGUGCAGCAGCAGAGGGCACAUCCUGAAUAGGAUGAGACAGUGUCUUUAUUGUCGCCCACCCACAUAGCCUCAGACAUGUUUCAUAGGUGACUUGCAGCAAGGAAAUGCCAAUAUCCAUUCACACAUCAACUAGAAAGAAGUCACAAAUGCCUGUUUUACCACAGUCAGUUCCUGUUCACUGAAUGUCCACACUGUUUUAAUCGCUUUUGAUAAAUAUUUACUUCAAAGGAAUUCACACUGAAAUAUCCGUGUAUGUUCUUUAGUAAACUAAUCUCUUUUGAAUCAGUUUUUGCAAUAUUUCCUCUUUCUCCUGAGUUAACUCACAACAUUCAUGUUAACCUCUUUGUCAGGUAGACAUGGAGCCUUUCAUGCAAGUUUUUCCAAUAUUUUAUUUGACUUAACCACCAAAAACUCAACUGCAGCUAUGGGGGAAAUACCCCACCUCCUCUCCGAACUAUUUCCUGCCAGGACUCAGGACAGGUAAUGCUCUCACUCCCUGGAGUGGGACUGUGGCUAUUACACAAGACUGGAUUUGAUAGCUGGUGUUUAAUUACAGUCCAAAGAUCUGACUUUCUAAACGAUGGUUCAUUUUUAAUGUUCUUCCACAUGAAAGAGGACUUUGAAAGGAAGAUUAGUACAGAAACUUCAAUUUAAAUAAAUAAUCUUCAUUCAUGACUCUAAGGAACAUGGUGCAAUUACUAACAGGUCAUUUUAGUUUUCUCUCUUAAACCUUCUCUUUGCCCAUGUUUGCUAAUGGCAAUUUAGUAUGAACUCAUACUGUGCUUGCCAUAUGUCUGCUUCUUGUAAACCUGCAGGGAAACAAAAGCAUUUUUCAGGUUUUUUGACAAUAGGGUGCUUGCCCGAUGAAUGCACACAAGGGUGCACAUUUCACUGGGUUCAGAACUUGCUAAGUAUCCAUUUUCUAAUCCCGCUGCAUUUCCCCAAAUCUUGGGUCAGUCUUUAUAAUAUUGCUUGGUACGCUGAGCUUUCUCAGAGCCAAUUCCCAGGGUUGAAAUGGCCACUAUUAGAGGCAUGCAUUCAAAAUGCGAUGGGGUAAGUUCACAACAGAUAUGGGAGACAACUAUUUUUCAUUCAGAGAGUGACAGGUACCUGGAGUGCCUGGGGCAGUGGUGGAGGCAGAUAGAGAUGUUCAAAAAUCUUUUAGAUAUGCACAUGAGUGUGCAGAGAAAGGGAGCUAUGGACAUUACGCAGGCAGAAGGGAUUAAUUCACAUAAACAUUUAAUUAGUUCGGCACGACAUCAUGGGCUGAAGGCACUAGUCCUAUGUUGUACUGUUCCAUGUUCUGUCCUGGGGUUUUAAACUCAGGAGUAGAUUUCUAAAAUUUCAUAGAAGUAUCACUGAACAAAAAGUAAUGUUUACCCCAAACUGAUUAGGUUUGGGGUAAAGUGGGUUUACAAUGAAUUCUUGGCAUUCAUUAAUAUUUCUAUAGAAUGGGUGUAAAGAGAUUGACGUUGACUUGGUAAUAAGAAGCAGAGGGAAAUGGUGAAGAGUUGUUUUUGUAAUUCGGGUCCUGUGAUGUGGGGGUUGCAAUCGUUACUAGGAAUUACUGCUUAUGGUAUACAUUCAGAAUUUAGAUGCAAAUAUAGGAGGUGCAGUCAGUAGGUCUGUAGAUGACCAAAAAUGGUGAUGUUGGUAGUGAGGAAGAUACUCUUAGAACACAGACUGAUGUUGAUACAUUAGUACAACCAGCAUAGAAAUGACAGGUGGAAUUUAAUCCUGAUAGGCCGGCAUGGUAACGUAGUGUUUAGCAUAAUAAUUUUCAAGCACCAGCAACCCAGGUUCAAUUCUCCCUGUGGUCUGUAUGCUCUCCCCGUGCCUGCGUGAGUUCCUUCAGGUCUCCUCCCAUAUUCCAAAGAUAUACAGGUUAGUCGUUUCUGAGCAAGCUCUGUUGGCAGUGGAAGUGUGGCAGUAUUUGCAGGCUGCAGUAUUUACAGUGAAAUAUGCUAUUUGUGUCACGACUAACACAGUCCAAGGAUGUGCUGGGGGCAGCCUGCAAAUGCUGCCACGCUUCUACUGAAAUGUUCAGUUGAAUUCUAGGUUCAACUAGAACAGGCAUGGGCAAACUACGGCCCGCGGGCCAUAUGCGGCCCGUUAAGCUUUUUAAUCCGGCCCGCAGAACUUGAUGAAAUUAUAUUAAUAAACCUUGUUAACGUUUUUCCCCGCAAUUCUGGCGUCUUCCCAAUAGAUGACGCACUCUAUAUACAUUGACCUUUGUUGAGGUGCAGCGUAUUACUCCACAUUUGCGCUUUACUUUGUGACCUUGUGGCGACCCAUUUCCUGGCACAUCCGAACCGGCUCACAAUUAGCCAGCAUUCCGGCUAAGGGAGAUAGCCUGUGGGGAUUUGCGAGCACAGAGCUCCGCAUAUUGGCGCGCUCUCACUGUUCUGUCAUUGUGCAGGUCGUUGUUGAGUUUUGGCACAGGGAACAAUUGAAUAAGAAGGAGCAGGACAAGUAGACCUGCAUCUCCUACCGUUUUUGAAAUAAAGACAGUCAGGAGGAGAGUGAUGAUGAUAAUAUCUUGAAGGAUAACAGAAUUUUCAGUGCUUUAAAAUAAUAACUGUUACUAUUAAAAAACGCUGUAUUUUAAUCAUUUAAUUUUCAGUGUUUUAAAAGACAUUUCAAUAAAUAGCUAAAUACCAUGGGACUUCAAAGACAGAUAUUUUGUUGUAAUGCAUUUGUUCAUUUUCAAUUGAAAUUAAAGCACGUGUUUUCUACAUAUCCCAUGAUAUUUUAUUUUCUCUUAUGAGGUGUAUUACCAAAACACUCCGUCCAUCUGCUCCUGGUCCGGCCCCCCUGUCAAAUUUUAGAACCCUUUGUGGCCCUCAAGUCAAAAAGUUUGC